GAUGAAGAACGUAGCGAAAUGCGAUAAGUAAUGCGAAUUGCAGAAUUCAGUGAGUCAUCGAGUCUUUGAACGCACAUUGCGCCCUCUGGUAUUCCGGAGGGCAUGCCUGUCCGAGCGUCAUUGCUGCCCUCAAGCACGGCUUGUGUGUUGGGCCCCGCCCCCCGAUCCCGGGGGGCGGGCCCGAAAGGCAGCGGCGGCACCGCGUCCGGUCCUCGAGCGUAUGGGGCUUUGUCACCCGCUCUGUAGGCCCGGCCGGCGCUUGCCGAUCAACCAAACUUUUUUCCAGGUUGACCUCGGAUCAGGUAGGGAUACCCGCUGAACUUAAGCAUAUCAAUAAGCGGAGGA
rnacentral:misc_RNA from 1 species